rnacentral:rRNA from 1 species
GACGAACGCUGGCGGCGUGCUAUACAUGCAGUAGAACGCUGAAGGAGGAGCUUGCUCUUUCCGGAUGAGUGCGAACGGGUGAGUACGCGUAGGUAACCUGCCUGGUAGCGGGGGAUAACUAUUGGAAACGAUAGCUAAUACCGCAUAACAGUAGAUAUCGCAUGAUAUUUGCUUGAAAGGUGCAAUUGCACCACUACCAGAUGGACCUGCGUUGUAUUAGCUAGUUGGUGAGGUAACGGCUCACCAAGGCAACGAUACAUAGCCGGCCUGAGAGGGUGAUCGGCCACACUGGGACUGAGACACGGCCCAGACUCCUACGGGAGGCAGCAGUAGGGAAUCUUCGGCAAUGGACGGAAGUCUGACCGAGCAACGCCGCGUGAGUGAAGAAGGUUUCGGAUCGUAAAGCUCUGUUGUAAGAGAAGAACGAGUGUGAGAGUGGAAAGUUCACACUGUGACGGUAUCUUACCAGAAAGGGACGGCUAACUACGUGCCAGCAGCCGCGGUAAUACGUAGGUCCCGAGCGUUGUCCGGAUUUAUUGGGCGUAAAGCGAGCGCAGGCGGUUAGAUAAGUCUGAAGUUAAAGGCUGUGGCUUAACCAUAGUACGCUUUGGAAACUGGUUAACUUGAGUGCAGAGGGGAGAUUGAAUUCCAUGUGUAGCGGUAAUGCGAGAUAUAUGGAGGACCACAGUGCGAAGCGGCUCUCUGGCUGUAACUGACGCUGAGCUUCGAAGCUUGGGGCAAACGG